rnacentral:tRNA from 1 species
UCAGAUUGUAGCUUAUUUUAAAGUUUUUUAUUUACAUUAAGAGGAAAAUUUAUAUUUUAUCUGAU